CUGUACCAGGUGAACAUUUAGUGCCCAAUAAAACAUUGCCUUGGCUUACUUAUGACUUAACUCUAAGUUACAAUAUUAAUUUAUUUUAUCAAAUAUGCUUAAUAACUUAAUUUAAAUUAUUAAGUCAGGAAGUUAAAUUAUUAAGUCAUAUUAAGUUAGUAAGUUAAUUUACCAGUUAAUAACUUAAAACUGGGCUGCCUGUUUUGCAUGCCCGCCAACUCAGGUUGCAAGCAACAUGAUAUAGACUUUCAAGAGAACAAAUUUUAAAAUGGAAAAGAGAAACACAAGGACAAAACA
rnacentral:lncRNA from 1 species